rnacentral:rRNA from 1 species
CCUACGGGAGGCUGCAGUGGGGAAUAUUGCGCAAUGGGCGAAAGCCUGACGCAGCGACGCCGCGUGAGGGAUGAAGGUCUUCGGAUCGUAAACCUCUGUCAGCAGGGAAGAACGGUCACUGUGCUAAUCAGCAGUGAAUUGACGGUACCUGCAAAGGAAGCACCGGCUAACUCCGUGCCAGCCGCCGCGGUAAUACGGAGGGUGCGAGCGUUAAUCGGAAUUACUGGGCGUAAAGCGCUCGUAGGCGGUAUGUCAAGUCAAGGGUGAAAUCCCCGCGCUCAACGUGGGAACUGACUUUGAAACUGGCAAACUGGAGUGUGUGAGAGGAUAGUGGAAUUCCAGGUGUAGGAGUGAAAUCCGUAGAUAUCUGGAGGAACAUCAGUGGCGAAGGCGACUAUCUGGCACAUAACUGACGCUGAGGAGCGAAAGCGUGGGUAGCAAACAGGAUUAGAUACCCGUGUAGUC